UUCAGCAAGAUAUAGAAGCUUGUUUUAAGUUACUAAUUCCUUAAUAUUGUCUUAUUUCAAAUGUAAUAAGAUAUUUACUCUAGAAACCAGAUUAGAAGUACUUGGUAAUAUUUGGUAUUUUUGCAGCAAUUAAUUGAUUUAUUGAC